UGGGGCGCAUCUGCAGGGUCAGUUUGAACUGAUUUUAAUGACCUUUGAAAGCUUCAGGAGCUCCGGCCACCAUGACGCCUGCCAUGUGCUUGGCCAGUCGGGCUCUGUGAGGUGUGUGAGGGUCCUGAGGAGGUGGGAGCACCACUGAGCGUCCCCUUCCUGCUCCUGGGCCCUGCGGCCACAGAUUCCAGAGGUCCGUCUUUCCCAGCUCAGAGUCCACCACCCACCACCUGGUUCUGAACCGCCCUGAGUGUCUCCUCUGUCUUGAUGACUCUCUCCUGGGUGAGAGCUUCGUGUGCAGGCUGAGAAAGCACAGAACGCCUACCAUGAGAUUUGAACUCACCCCUAAUUUUAUCACCGAUAGUCCCUAAGUGUUGCUAUGUUUGUCUCUUUCUCAGCUUUGGUCCUGAGCAAAGUCCUCAAAGUCUAAAAACCCAGACUCAUCCCAGCCGAGGGAAUGAUCUCCCUCCCAGAAUUGGAAAUGGCACGUACUGCAUGUGGCCUGAGGAAGACUUGUCACUCUGGCAGCAAAAACUCCAAACAAACAAGGCCGACUGCUAAGUCAGAAACUGUCUUGGGGGCGCCUGGGUGGCUCAGCUGGCUGAGCACCUGACUUGGUUUCAGUUCAGGUCAUGAUCUUGGGGUCAUGGGAUUGGGCCCUGCAUUGGGCUCUGCUGGGAGUCCUCCUGAGAUGCUCUCUCGCCCUCUGCCCCCUCCCUGCUCAUGUUUGCCCUCUCUCUCUCUCUCUCUCUCAAAUGAAUGGAUAAAUCUUAAAAAAAAAAAAAAAAAGAAAAGAAAAAAGAAACUGUCUUUGGCCGCAGCGUGAGCCGGGAUGCCUCUGCAGGUUCCCUGCCCAGACCCGCCUGCGUGACAGUGGGGUGCCUGAGCAUCUUCCAGGAGCUGGGGAAUAGCAGCUCCCUGGGCAGGGCCCCUGACCCCAAUGUGGGGAGGGAGAUCUGGACCUGCCCACUGUGUUGCACACCAAGCUCGGGGAGUCACUGCCCGGCCUGGAGGGCACGCUCAGCACAAGGGAAAGAAGCAAGCAGCAAAGACAGAACACAGUGUGGAGGAAAGGGAGCUCCCACCCACUGGGCUUCCUGCCCCACUGGCCACUGGCGGGUGGGGCCAGGGCAGGAGCACAGCCAUUCCAGCUCUGACCUAGCCCCAUUGUCCUACGGCGUUGAGACAAAUCAUGUUGCCCUGGAGGGGAGGACCAGAAAGCCAGCCACCAGCCUUGAGCACAAACUCUCUGGGCUUCUAAGGCAACAAGAAGGACGGUCUGAUGUAUAUCCCCAUGGUCGGGAGGAAGGAAGCGCGCUUGUUCUUUAGGAAAAACUGCCUUAUUUCCCUGGAGCUAAAUCAGAAAAAAUACUUCCAGUGGAUCUUUGUGUAAAUUACAUUGAUGGGGGGUGGGGAACAUCCCUGACUUGGGGCACCAGAGGCCAAGGCCAGGGUGUUGUAAUAUGAAUGCAUGAAGGUAUGUCUCCAGGAGCCAGGUUGAUGUGGCCACCGUGUCAGCGAUCUCAGCUGAUGCAGGGACAGGAGUUAGAGAAAGUGGGUCUCUCUCUCUCUCCAUUCCCUUUGCCCUCCCCCAGCUUUGUGGGGAUCUGCUGGCUUUGCAGUGGGGGUGCCUGGCUGUUUGGGUUGCUCAUUGAGGGGAGAUCAAGGUCCUUGAGAAAGACUACAGGUUACAGAGCUGUGGGCCCUGCUGGGGCACUAAGGCAGUCUUUGGAAGGGCUGGGCUCCUGGAGGCCGGGUCUCCCCCAUGCCUGGCUGCUUCCCCAUCAUGCACCCAGGCCCUUCAUGCCUUGACAGACCCUCAGAUGUCCUGAGCCGACACUCGGGAUGAGCAAGAGCUGACUGCCUUUAUUCCAUAUGCAAUAGUAAUGAUGCUAACAAAAUAGCAGUAGUGAGCUCUUAGGUGCAAGCAGGACUUCUCUGGCACAUCGCCUUGAUGGCUCCUGAUCCCCACGAUGACACCACGGGCCCAUCCCAGCCCUGUCCCCACUUUACAGAUGAGAACAGCAAGCCAGAGAAGCUGCGGGAUGCACGCACUGGCUGUUCCCGGCGCCCACCUGGAUCUCAGCCGGAGUCUGGGCCGACUUCAGAGGCGCGUGGCGACAAGCCAGGUGGCCAUCCUCUGUGCAGGCACCUGGGUGCUUUCAAAAACUUCGUGUUGUGGGAGAUUCAAACCUGCUUACAUGUAGAACCGGAGCCUGGGCUCCCCUGUGCAUCAUCCAGCUUCAUCAAGUGCUGACUCAGCCCGUCUUGCUGCUUCUCUCUCCGUGAGGGCUUCUGUCCUGGGGUAGAUGAAGCAAAACCAAGGCAUUGUUUUAUGUCAUCCUAAAGACUCCAGCAUGUAUCUUUAGCAGGUGAGGAUAUCUUGGUCACACUUUAACUUCCCUACAUCUCACAAAACAGUGACUCCCUCGUAUCAUCUGACACCAUUCACACUCACUUUUCCUCCAGGUGAUGAGGUCUGCCCUCCUUCCUUCCUAGACCUUCUUCUGUGGCCGGUUUCCUGCCUGUCACACCAGUUAGACGUAGGCUUUCUACAUCCGGUUGGAGUGAUGAAGAUGCGUGUGCCUCUGAGUAGUUAUGGGUCUGAGAGGGCAGGAGCGGAUACAGAACAGAGUGGAUUUCAGGCUUUCGGGGUGAGGGGGCAGCCCAGCUGCGGGGAGAGCGGAGGGGCUGGCGCUGAAGGAGUCUCCAUGCUGAGGGGCUGGUGUAGGCGGCUUGGGCAGCCCCAAGGAGAAGCGCCAGAGGCUCUAAGGCUUCAGCCUGAAACACACCAGCCCUGAGACACACGGGGCCAAGACUGUUCUAGAAAACGGAGGGUAAAAUGGAUCACAGAGUUGCUUCUGAAGAAACGAGCUGAAGAAAGCACUUACCCAUCUAUAAACUCUUCUAAGAAUGUAGAUUCAAUCCAAGGAGCAGAGUUUUUGUUUUCUAAUAUAUUUCCUUGGUCAGUUAACGUAGUUCCAUCCAGACUGCUCUGAGUGGCUAACACUUGCAGAAUGAUCUUUCCAUCGACCUGGCGACCACGCAGUGUCUGGCUUAGCACAAACCCUGGUCCGGCCCUGAAACCCAGGCAGUGCUCUGUCUCAUGUCUCCCCCCACCCCACCCCCUACACGGAUGCCCACAACACUCUGCCUGGUGGGGUGUGUGUGUGUGUGUGUGUGUGUGUAUGCAUGUGAGUGUGUAUCAGCGCAGAUCUGGCUCAUCAUUUUAAGAGGAACAAUAAUUCUCAUAGCCAGUAUGCUAUUGAGAGACACUGAGGUUGCUUUUGAAUUUUGCCUAUGGCAAAAAUGAUAAAAUUCAUAGGCUAGAGUAUGCAAAUCCAAUCUAGAUAGUUUACUAUAAAAUUAGCAAGAAUUUUUUAAAAGCAUAAUACUUAGUGCUGGUGAAGAUGUGGAAAAGGCACUCAGUCACUCUUGGUAGCUGUAAACGGUGUUACGAUCAUUUUGGAUGACAAUUUGGCAAAUUCUAUUAAUAUGUAAAAUGCUCCUGCUCUUUGGUUAAUUUGUGGCUUUCCUGGGAAGUGAGUCUAUGUAUAGAUUUGUGCCCAAAGGUGCCUUUUGAGCCUUGCUCCCCAGACCUCCGAAAGGACCUCCUGAGCCCAGACCCUGUAUGUGGAAACUUUGGCGUCCCGAGAGGCUUCAGCACGUGGAACCGUGUGUGCUCGGAGGUGAGAGCACCGGCAUGUAGGGGUUUGCUGCUUCGCUUUCUGUCUCCAGCACAGCUUCUCCCGGGCAAGACGUCAGCUCCGGAGCGCUGUCUCUUUCCAAGUGAAGCCAGUGUCGCAGACUGCCCUUCAGGGGUCAGAAGGAGGUGAUGCCGUUCGGGACCGUGCAGCACCUCCUGCCCACCUCAGAGGUCUGGGGGUGGCCAUGGGGUCCUCACCAAGGCUUAGCAUCCUUUUGUAUGUUGGCUCCUGCCCCGGAGUGUUCCCCUGAGUAAGGGGGCCUGCGCAGUUCCCCAAAGCCCUCCUAGCCCUCAGUGCCCCCCAAACGCUGGGCCUCCUGCUUCUCCACAGUGGCCUCUACAUUCUGUUCCUUUGAGUAAGGUGCAGGGUGGGGUGGGGCAGGGGAGAAUCACCAGAGGCUUUUAUUGCCGUCUUACUUCUCUUUGGAAGAGUAAGAAUUUUAAGAAUUGACACCAUUACUUGGUGUCCGUGAACCAAAUGACCCACUGCCUCAGCUGCUUUGCCAAAGGAGGCUUGACAUGGCCUUCCCCUUGGAGAGAGUCAGAUGUCCACACGUGCCUUGCACAGCAGGCAAGCAGAUGUUAGGAUGCAGUUAUGGGAGUUCUGUGGGCUGCUUGGCAAGCCGCUGGCUGGCACCAGGGGAGCGUCUCUAGCCCCAAGGGAGCGGGGUCUGGGGCCCCCGACCCCAGGCCUGCUGAUGCUGCUGGCAGCCAGAUUUCCCAGCAUUCCCUUACAGAGGUGGCACCCAGGCCCAGACUGCUCCAACCGCAGCUCCUGGCGUCCCCACGGAUGCAUCCACUCUCACGAUCGUCCCAGGAGAAGGGAGAGGGGCAGAGGACGGGGGUCCCUUCCUGGAGCACCCGCACAGCCUACCCUUGGCUUUGGAGCGAGUGUCCCCCAGCAGGCCAGUUUCUCAUCCCAAACCCCGUGCCCUCGACGCUGUGCACUUUGCCACAUCUGUCACUGGAUCAUGCCAUUAGCUCUCCGGGAACAGCAAUUCAUGGUCACCCCAAGUGCCUGUACCCAAACAAAAUAGUGUAUGAGAGGCCAUGAGGUUUCUUAGCGGUAAAGAGGCAUCCUUAUCAUCCACGGUUUACGAAUGAGACAACAGGCCCAGGUUGUAAGCUGCCUGAGGGCUCAGCCAUAUGGGACAGAGCAGCACUGGUCAGGGCUUCUGUCUCCAUUCCUGGCUACUAGGUGACUGACUCUCCCAAUCUGUCUGUGACUGAGGGUCUCCCGGGACACAUGGUUUUCGGUGCUAACAUGGGGACAUUCCAGACAAACUGGCGGCAGUUACUCACUGUGCCCAGCCUCUCCCAGGCUUCUCCUGGGUCCUCCCUGCCAGCUGGGACCCUGUCUCCGAGCUCAGAACCCCGCGGUUCAUGGCUUUCUUCCAGGUUGCCUCACCCGCCUCCUCCCCCUGUGGAGGCCUAUCACGGGAGAGCACACACAGUUGAUGCUCAGUGGUUGUGUCCCAAGGAGCACUGAAUGGGUGGCGGGCAGGGCCUGCAGAUGAUAGUCAGGAGGGCAGCCUAGUGCCAACCUCGUGAACUGGGCAGUCUGAGGCCAGGGCGGGGGGCAGGGAGGGACUGGGGCUGCGGCUGGGCACCCUCCAGGCCCUGGACCUCGCCCAUACCUCCCGACUGCCCUGGCUGGUCUUUGUAUCCCAUCAUUUAAAUUGAACAAAUGCUAAUUAAGAAAAUAAUCCCCCCCGAAUCAUUUUCCUCCCAGCCUGCAUGCCUGUGUCCAGAGGCCAAGUCUGGAGGAAAUGUUAACACAGGCUAAUGAAGACCUUGACUGUGACUUGAAGGACUACCCUGCUGGGGCAGAAUCCUGGGCAGGAGAUGGCAGCCAGCAGAUGCAUGCUCCUGACUGACUUAGAACAGAAGUGGGGGCCUGUGGCGAAAGUCGAGGGGCCGGGGAUCUUUCCUAGACCUGUUAUUCUCUAAUGAAUGUAUUUCUCUUCCCGUGACCACAUGCAACUGAGGAUUUAUCCGCAAUCAACAAAUGAGAAGUUCUGAGCCAGAAACCCGAGUCCGUGCUGGUCCUCCACCUGGGGCGCUCCCGCCACCCGCUGGCCCAGACAUCUGGGGACCCAUGCCGUCCUGCUCUGCCCAUACCUGCCCAUCGCAUGUUUCUCCCUGUCACCAAAGAAUUAAAGACAACAUCUUGGACGGUCUCUGUACAUGGAGAAAUGAGAAUGUAUUCUCAGACAAAGCGUGACCUGAGGGAGAAGCCUGCCGGAAUCUGGAUUUUCAAUAACAUAAGACAAUAAAGCUUAGACUUCUAACCUGCUGCAAUAUGGUCAGAGUAUAAAGAGCUUAGCUCCUAAUAAAAGGGCAGGGCUUCCGCUCAUAUCUGAAGAUCCGGACCCCCCAGAAGGACACUUCAUAAAGAUCGUAACGGGUUAGCCUGGAUCACACAGACACGAGGCCUUGUUGACCGAUUGUCUGACAGUUGUCACCUAUGGAUCUGAUAUUAAUAAGUCCCGUGUUGAUUUCCUCAGGGUAUUUUUGUCCCUGUAAUUGCACCUCUUCCUGUUGUGACCCUACACUGGGUGGCAUGUUGCGUGCACGUUGCACCCUUUUUUCUGGGGUUUGCCCACCGUGAUAUGGCACCUCCCUGAGUGGGGCGAUGAACUGGCAGCAGCUGGACAAUGGCAAGGGCAAGCUCGUAGAACACAGGACAGAGCCACCUGAGCCACCUGCUUCUCCCUGGGAGCUCGAGUACUCUGACACCUUCCACAGGAGGAGAGCAGGUGAAAUUCGGUAUCGUCAGCCAUUCUUCUGUGAAUUUGUUUGCCUCUCAGAGACUGCCAGGGGAUUAAUGGGUUGCCAGGUGGUUCCCCUGACAGCGUAAUUGAGGCAAAGUAUGUGAAUCUACUGCAUGAAUAUAAUUGCAUGAAUGAAGCUGAGGGACAAUAGUGGAGCUUGGUUAAAAAUCUCUGACACAUAAAAUGCCACUGAGCCAGCAACAGAGAAGUGGAGAAUUGGACCAGCCAGCAGCCCCUCUGGCUAUGCGUCCUCUCCCAUGGUGCCAAUGGCAUCGCCCUGACUCCUGCCCCCUUCCGUUUCCACCCAGACUUUCUGGUGGCCCCAAGGCAGGUCCAUGCCACGCUCUGCAGUAUCAUCUGCACUUUAAAAUGACAUUGAGGCCAAGUAUUCCAGAGCAUUUCAAUUCUGUUCACUCCAGGUGCUGCUUUAUUCCCCUGGCUGCACCUCAGAAGAGCCCACCCCUCUCAUGUGGGACACAUCUCUGCAGAAGUUUUCAUUUCUGGGGUGUACCCAGUGGGGAGAGGCAAGUGUGGGAUGCUGGAUGCUCUAGGACAGGACUGUAGACUCUGCUAGGCUCCUUCCUUCUCUGGGAACCCUGCCCUGGUCCAUGUGGAGAAGGACGACAAAGGAAAGCACCUACUGAGGUCCCUAGAAGAGAGCCUUCCUCCAUCACUCCGCGACAGGGCGCGGAACCGACGAGCCCAUUCUGAGGCUGCCUGCAUGCCGGCCCAUCUUUGAUCCUCACAGCACCUUGCAAGCCCGGCGAUGAGCUCCUGUUCACAGAGGGCAGCACCAGGGGGCAGGGAGCAAGGCCGUUUGCUGGCACUGGCUAGUCGUGCCAGGCCUGGAGACAACAGACGGAUAGAAAAGACCAUGAACUUCCAGCCACCUCUUCGUGUGUCCUCCAUCACCAGGAGGCCGCAUGGAUCCAACAACUGCAGCUCCCGUUGUGUUUCUGUCAGAUGGCACCGAGUCAGACACCGGAUGACGUCACGCCUCCUGCCCGCCUCUCCGGUGGGCUUCCUGCACGUGGCAGACGAGAUGCCUGCUAGCGCCAUCCUUUGAAAUUGCAGGUCACAGUCUGUUAAAUGGGCCAGGAAAUCAAUGUAGUAGGUCAUGGCCGGAGUUUUUAAAAAAUGAAGAAGAAGAAAAUCGAAAAUGUU